GCAAGUAGAUGGGAAAAAUUGAUUUAUUUGUAAGCACCCCCUUCUAUUUUUGCUCCGUUUAAUUUCCGUUUAGGUAGUUGGGGGCAUUUAUGACAAUUCGUGAGAUAACUAAAAGUUUUGCAACAUCUGGUGGCAAUUGGCAUGAGCACAAUAAUUGAGACUUGUCUUUUUAAUCACUAUGCUCUCAGAUCCAAAUUUCUUAGGUUUCCAAAAGCCUUUAAUUGAAUGUGUUUUGAGCUCAUUGUUAUCAAAGCUUGAAUUGUUAGACCAUUAACAAUUGACCCACAAAGACAUUUGUUGAAUGUAUGCACGCCAUUGGCUUUAGUGUAUAAUCAUUUCAAGUAAUGAAAAAACAUUUGACCAAAUCUUGCAACCGGUGAUUAAGCCCCUGUGAGACUCGGUCGUCUAACUAAGUCAGCAGCCUCACCAAGUCAUCCUCAUUGCCACCAUCUCCAUCCACAUGUUUUAAAGCCUUUGUGACUCCGUUGACAUGCUCUCUGUCAAUCCAGGCUUUAAUUUCAGUCUCGAUAGCGCAGCGACUCGAAUGAUGGAGUGAGACGAGACUCGCCGAGUUAAAAAGCUUUUGAGGCUAUUAUGGUUGUGCUAUCUAUGAAGGUUUGGACAAGGGUUUUGAGGUCGGCGAGGUGUUGAACGAGAGUAUGAAAAUGUGGGUCCUUGGGAGAGGAGGGCAUCGGAUUCGGUCUCGAGCUCGAGCGGAGCUUUAACGACGGAUGAGUUGAACUCAGCUGAGUUGGAACUAGGGUGCGCUUGGACUUACAAUUGAUUAUUCAUGGAGUUUAUGUGAAAUAGAGGCAAUGAUCACUCACUGAGUCACUGUAUACAAACAUCAUCAAGGUAAUUUCGUCUUUUCAAAGGCAACUAACUGUCAACGAAAAAUUUAACUAAUGGUGAGCAGGUGCUUACAAAUAAAUUGAUUGUUGUCAUCUAUUUGUAACUACCUCAAAACUCAGGAGAGAUUUUUAAAAAUUAUCCUUUCUAUUUUUUGCGCCUCCUUUUAAACAUUAUCGUAUCGCUUGAGAUUUUUACCAUUUUAUUUAAGAAGAAUAAUCUUUGACUUUUUGAGAUUACUUUUCUCAUUAGAACUCAAAUCUUUUAAUUAUGUGUCUUUUCACAUUAAUUAAUGAAACGAAAAUUUAGAUAAAAAAAUUAAUAAACAUUUAAAUAAAUAUUUACAAAUUAAUAUGACAUGACUCCUGUAAGUUCACGAGCUUCUUCCACCCAAAAAUAAAUAAAUAAAUAAAUUCAUUUACUAAAGUUGGGUUAACGUCUUAACGAUAUAAGCCACUAGGGCUUGGCUCAAGUGGCUAGAGCCACUCUCUCAUAAGUGUGAGAGAAAUGAUUCGAGCCACAACAGACGCAUUAGAGGGGUUAAUUUAAAUUUCAUUCCUCGAAGCUUCAAAACUUGAGUGAAUAUAAUCUUUCUUCCAAAAAUAGAGUUGACGUCCCUUGAAUAUUUGAGAGGGUUAAAAAAAGUUAAAAAUUUGAGCGGUGUCAUAUUAGAAAUUGUAUGAUUGUAAAUAUAAAUGUCUUAACGAUAUAUAAAGACAUGUAUUGAUCAUGACAUAUGAUUUGAUGUCCCUCGAAUAUUUGAGAAGAUUAAAAAAUUUGAGCAGUGUCAUAUCAGAAUUGAUGUAAACAAUUCUCAAUAAUUAUAUGAUUAUAAAUAUCAUGAGUAAUAAUCUCUUAAAAAAAAAACGUUUUAACAAUAUAUAAAGACAUGUAUUGCUGAUGGCAUAUGAUUUGACUAUCGUCGUUAAAUAUGUACCAUAGCUAAAUAUAGACCGGUUUUAAUUUGAUUAGAUAAAAGAAUUAAACUUAGUGAAGCAUUGACCCACUUUGAGGAGAGUGUUGGAAUAUGCUAAAGCUGGGGCUUUGGGGCUCUGGGCAGGUAUAUGAAUGAUGAGUUGCCAUCCACGAGUUAUCCCAAUACAUGCAUAAAAACAUUAGGCAUUAAGCUAGCUUUGUUGCUAGUUAUUUUGACCCAAGAAGGUUCAAAUUAUAGAGGUUUUUAACAAGCUGUUCUUCAACAAGAACUGGGAUUUUUAAUCUGAAGCUGACAAUGGAUAAGAGAAAUGCCGUCACUAGAAACGGCAAUGGGGUUUCACUCUUUGCGGGAUAACCGUUGAGAUGCAUGACAUAACAAUCUGCCAAUUCAUCUGUUUGCUAAUGUUGCUGUCUACUAAUCCACGGCUUCAUAUACGUUUACAUCUGUAGUUGCUAGCAGGCCUUGUUGUAACAUCACCUGGUCACCUACUCACACUUUUAAUUUCAAGAUUAUGUCCACUUCAUAACUUCAAAAUUAUAGUGGCCCCGGUUCAUUUUUUCAGAUUAGUAUUGGGUAAGAUUAGGCUCACAACAUGAUAUUGCAAGUCUGUAACAUUUUAAAUAUCUCGUCCCGCAGCAAGAUUUAAGCUGGGUACAGACAGCUGCACUCACUAUUAUUGAUACUGUCAUUUCUUCCAUCACCAUCUUCUCUCUGCUUAGGAGCUAAUAAUGAUGUGAUCUUUAUCCCCAAAAGUCUGUCUACUGUACAAUGGCUAAAAUGGAAGAAGAAUGAUUUUUCACAUUUAACCUUUUAAGUUAGUAUUUGUAAAGGACCAUUAUUGAAAGAAAGAAAUUUGGAAGAAAAUAUAUAUCUAUAUUACUUUAACGGAUAGAGAUACAAAUGGAAGCUGCGUUAAUCCAUAUGUAUAACAAAGAAUAAAAAAUCAGCAAUUCCUACAGAAAUAAUCAUUUUUUUUGGCUGAGUGAACAAAAAUUAAGAAGAAAAUGCACAAUCGCAAUAUUUGUACAAGAAUCAAGCAGCAGGACCUGGUUUCUGGAUCUCAAAUGAGAGCCUCGAGCUGUUUCUGGUUUCCAAUCAUAUUUCAGAAAUUUGUCCCCAAUUCUGCAUACCAUAGACACACUCAUGGCAUAUAGGAACUCCGAUCCUCAUAUUCUCGACUUCUCCAACUAGUCUGAGAUUGGUUGUAAAAAUCUGAACUAUAGUCUUGACUACCACCAAAUGCCAACCUUUGAAACAUUCUGAUUUGUGCAGAAUGUUGUGCUGAACUGAAAAUUCCACUUUGGCCGGGUUUCACUCCAUUAGUGAGAUCUGAUGCUCCAUCUAAUGUGUCUAAAGCUCUCACUACCUGAUUAAGUAAAGAAAAGAAACUUCUGUUAUUAAACUUCAACUAGAAAUGAAAAAAACGGAAAUUUCUUUGUCGUUCAAACAUGAUUUUACCUGACUCAUUCUCGGUCUUUUUGUUGCUGAAUGGCGCACACAAGCUGCAGCUGCCUCAAUCAUCCAAAACAUUUCACUGUCCACAUAGUUCUUUUCCA
rnacentral:lncRNA from 1 species